rnacentral:rRNA from 1 species
ACGAACGCUGGCGGCAGGCCUAACACAUGCAAGUCGAACGAUGUAGCAAUACAUAGUGGCGCACGGGUGAGUAACGCGUGGGGAUGUACCAUUUGGUGGGGAAUAACUCCGGGAAACUGGAGCUAAUACCGCAUACGCCCUUCGGGGGAAAGAUUUAUCGCCAAAUGAUCAGCCCGCGUGAGAUUAGAUAGUUGGUGGGGUAAUGGCCUACCAAGUCUACGAUCUCUAGCUGGUCUUAGAGGACGACCAGCCACACUGGAACUGAGACACGGUCCAGACUCCUACGGGAGGCAGCAGUGGGGAAUAUUGGGCAAUGGGCGCAAGCCUGACCCAGCCAUGCCGCGUGAGUGAUGAAGGCUUUAGGGUUGUAAAGCUCUUUCACCGAUGAAGAUAAUGACGGUAGUCGGAGAAGAAGCCCCGGCUAACUUCGU